rnacentral:lncRNA from 1 species
GGCCAUUAUCUACAAAAGGGUGUCUCAGAUUUCAGAUAGAAUGUAUAGAACAAAUUUUACACCUAAUUAAACAUUAUCUUCUUUUAUGUGGUUAGGAUGUUUACACUAAUUAGAGAUUAAUGAGAGAAUGGAAUACCAUAGAGACAAUCUGAGACACCCUUUUGAAGCCCAUGAUGUGUUGAUUAAGAUUUCGUUAAAAUUUUCUGUAUAGUUAAAGAGAUGAUAGAGCUAAAUUCAUUCAAGUGAACUUACUCAG